rnacentral:rRNA from 1 species
CUACGGGGUGCUGCAGUGAGGAAUAUUGCACAAUGGGGGGAACCCUGAUGCAGCAACGCCGCGUGGAGGAUGACGCAUUUCGGUGUAUAAACUCCUUUUAUAUGUCAAGAAAAUGACGGUAGCAUAUGAAUAAGCACCGGCUAACUCCGUGCCAGCAGCCGCGGUAAUACGGAGGGUGCAAGCGUUACUCGGAAUCACUGGGCGUAAAGGACGCGUAGGCGGGUUGGAAAGUCAGGUGUGAAAUCCUACAGCUUAACUGUAGAACUGCACUUGAAACUUCUAAUCUAGAGUAUGGGAGGGGGAGAUGGAAUUAGUGGUGUAGGGGUAAAAGCCGUAGAUAUCACUAGGAAUACCUAAAGCGAAGGCGAUCUCCUGGAACAUUACUGACGCUAAGGCGUGAAAGCGUGGGGAGCAAACAGGAUUAGAUACCCGGGUAGUC